CGCUGGCGGAAUGCUUUACACAUGCAAGUCGAACGGCAGCACGGGGGCAACCCUGGUGGCGAGUGGCGAACGGGUGAGUAAUACGUCGGAACGUGCCCAGUCGUGGGGGAUAACUACGCGAAAGCGUAGCUAAUACCGCAUACGAUCUACGGAUGAAAGCGGGGGAUCGCAAGACCUCGCGCGAUUGGAGCGGCCGAUGGCAGAUUAGGUAGUUGGUGGGGUAAAGGCUCACCAAGCCGACGAUCUGUAGCUGGUCUGAGAGGACGACCAGCCACACUGGGACUGAGACACGGCCCAGACUCCUACGGGAGGCAGCAGUGGGGAAUUUUGGACAAUGGGCGCAAGCCUGAUCCAGCCAUUCCGCGUGCAGGAUGAAGGCCCUCGGGUUGUAAACUGCUUUUGUACGGAACGAAACGGCGCUUUCUAAUACAGAGCGCUAAUGACGGUACCGUAAGAAUAAGCACCGGCUAACUACGUGCCAGCAGCCGCGGUAAUACGUAGGGUGCAAGCGUUAAUCGGAAUUACUGGGCGUAAAGCGUGCGCAGGCGGUGAUGUAAGACAGAUGUGAAAUCCCCGGGCUCAACCUGGGAACUGCAUUUGUGACUGCAUCGCUGGAGUGCGGCAGAGGGG
rnacentral:rRNA from 1 species